AUGGAGGUCAUGACUGGAAAAGGCGGCGCCAAGCCCGUCCCCAACUAUCUUCGGCCAUCGACCGGGUCGUGCCACGAUGCGUGCAAGCACGGCGGCCAUCACGCGUUCGUGGAGAAACAGGAAGCUCCAAGGACCCAACCCAAACCCCGGAAGAAGCAGCAGCCAUCAGCUUCGGAUGACCAGAACCAAAAGAGAAGGCUGGUCAAGGUACGGUCGGUGUCACGUAGGCGUGUCGUAGAUUUCAGCAAACCCGACAAGGCCGAUACGCCGGCCGGUGGGAGCGAGAUUGUUGUUGAGUGGAAGGACAUCGUGGCCUAUGACGCAGUGCCAGCUCCUGCUCCUGCCGAUGGACCAUCUCAUCAACAACCUGAUGGGAGGAAGAAGAAGAGGGAUGUGAUGAAGGGGAAAACACCAUUUGCCAAGACCACCCAUCCGGAGACUCCUGUCAAGAACCCAACCGAAUCACUGAACAAGAGGCUGGCUAAGACCGUCAGGUCGACGCUCACCGGGAAGGCCUCCAUCAAGAAGCCUCAAGCCGCCGCUGACAAGAAGGAGGCUGGCAAGAGAACAGAGAGUGUAAAGCCACCGAAAGCGAAGAAACCCAUGACACUGCCCGUCGAAAACAAGGAAAUUGUCCAGGGUGACACAACUGGUGAUGUUAAGCAGGGGAAGUCACUCUACACUCCUGACCAAGAAGAGCGUGCUGCCAUUGCUGAAUCAAGCAGGGCACAUCGGAGGGCCAAGAGCAUGAGCAUCAGCAGCCGAUCGGUGCGCUUCCCGUUCACCCGACAAGCGACCAAUAACUCGGCCACCUUCAAGCUGCGCUCCAAGAGCAGCACGGCACCCGUCCUCCCAUCCGAACAAGAGAAGCCCACGCGGCUCAGGUUCAGAAAGGGGAGAGCAGCCGGCGAGGAGUCCAGCGGCGGCAUCCAGCUCAGGGCCAGGAGCCUGCGGAGGCGAGGGAGCGGCCUGUCCGGCGGCGCACACGCGGGCUUCGUGGUGCCGGAGUUGACGCUGAGGCACCAAAAGACGCUGGAGAGGAAGAAGAGCCGGAGGCUGUCUAACAACCUGAUCGAGGAGACGGCGAGCAAGCUGGCCAAGAGCAGGAGGAGCAGGGUCAAGUCCCUGGUUGGGGCUUUUGAAUCUCUCAUCUCCAAGAUUGGAAAGUAG
rnacentral:rRNA from 1 species